GAUGAACGCUAGCGGCAGGCUUAAUACAUGCAAGUCGUGGGGCAGCAGGUCCGUCGCAAGACGGACGCUGGCGACCGGCAAACGGGUGCGGAACACGUACGCAACCUUCCUUUAACUGGAGAAUAGCCCCUCGAAAGAGGGAUUAAUACUCCGUAACAUAAUGAUGAGGCAUCUCUUUAUUAUUAAAGCUCCGGCGGUUAAAGAUGGGCGUGCGCCUGAUUAGAUAGUUGGCGGGGUAACGGCCCACCAAGUCUGCGAUCAGUAACUGGUGUGAGAGCACGACCAGUCACACGGGCACUGAGACACGGGCCCGACUCCUACGGGAGGCAGCAGUAAGGAAUAUUGGUCAAUGGACGCAAGUCUGAACCAGCCAUGCCGCGUGGAGGAUUAAGGCCCUCU
rnacentral:rRNA from 1 species